UGCGACCCGAUUGGGAUAAAAAGUAAGAUCAGUGAUGGGUUUCGGGCCCGGCCGUUGUCCCCAUGGUAUGGUUCGGUAUAAAUAAUGUAAUAUUCUGCCCUUUAUGGCAGCGUUAUGAGAUAUUCAAGAAAUAACUGGGAUUAGGUUUUAAGAGUUCUGAGUGAUUGUAUUUUAUCCUUUUCAUCAUAAUGAAAUUUUUUCUCUUGUUUUUUCCG
rnacentral:misc_RNA from 1 species